rnacentral:ribozyme from 13 species
GAAAAAAAAAAAAAAAAAAAAAAAAAAAAAAAAAAA